GCCUGAAAUAUUCUAGUCUAAAAUUAUAUAUAGAAUGUUCAAACACCAAUAACAUGUAAAUAUGAUAUACAGGCAGUUAUGUAAGAGUUAUUGUAUGAACCGGAUAUACGAGGUAAACCAACAAGCACAUGAAUUUGUCCAAGGAAUAAUUCUUAGAAAAAGAGGAAACAGCAGCUGUCUUCUUCUGUCAGGAAUUACAGUGUUGGAAAAGAGUUGCCUUUGUGUAUGUAUAUAUACGGCCAUCGCCGAGUUAAUGGUGUAGAUUUCAAACAAACGCACACGAUAUUCAACUAAAUGCUAGCUAGUCAAAUAUAUAAGGGAAAAAAAAAAGCAUCACCAAGAACAAAGAUCUAGCAUGUUUUCUUUGGAGGUUUUUAUUUAUUUAUUUAUUUAUUUUUGUGACAACUCAGGAAUUGAAUUCGACAAGAAGAGAGAGAUUUAAUAGAGCGACACUCGUCGUGCACUGGAAAACAAAAUGUAUGGGUUCAGUUUUCACUUUCUUUCCUCUUCCUCUAUUUCAAUAUUCUAGGCUCACAAACCUCCUAAUAACUGCAGAAAAAAAAAAAAAAAACCUGACCGAUCCCUCUUUCCAUGGAUGGGACCAUGGGGAAUAAUAUCUGAUUGAGCUCUAGCUUCCCGUGGUAGGAUUUGAGAUCCAGGAGACGGGAGCAAAAGCGGAGUCUAUUCGCCGAGACUAAUCUUAUUGAGGUGUCAUCUUGGUCAUGGCCACUUAAAAUUUCAAGCACGGAGAUAAGAAUUUAUGAUGAAAAUACAUGGCGAACCAAUCAAUUAAGAGGCAAGAGAGGUGCCGGUGCCGUCGCGGUGUCGUCUGGGGAGAGCAUGAGAAGGGGACAGGUGCAGUUGGUGCUGCUGUUGUAGCUGGUGCUGCCGCUCCCUGCGCUUCGAGGCUGGCACCCACGUGCUCCUGACGUGGGU